GCCGAAGUGGCGAAACUGGUAGACGCGCACGUUUCAGAGGCGUGUGGGAGAAAUUCCAUGUGGGUUCGAUUCCCAUCUUCGGCACCA
rnacentral:tRNA from 1 species